ACGACUCUCGGCAACGGAUAUCUCGGCUCUCGCAUCGAUGAAGAACGCAGCGAAAUGCGAUACUUGGUGUGAAUUGCAGGAUCCCGCGAACCAUCGAGUCUUUGAACGCAAGUUGCGCCCGAAGCCUUUUGGCCGAGGGCACGUCUGCCUGGGUGUCACUCAACCGUCGCCCCAAACCCCUUCUUUUGGAAGGCG
rnacentral:rRNA from 1 species